rnacentral:lncRNA from 1 species
CCUUGCUCCUUGGCUCUUGUCCUGGUUUCAGCUGGGACAGAGUUGGUCUUCAUAGCAUAUGGUUUGAUGCUAUGUUUUGGCUUUAGGAGAAAAACAACAUUGCUAACACAUUGAUAUUUUAGUUGUUGCUGAGCAGUGCUGUAGAGAGACAAGGAUAUUUCAGUUUUUCAGCUUCUAGUACUGUUCUGCCAGCAUGGGGACCUGCGGAGCAUGAGGAGCUCAGAAGGGACAGAACCAGGACAGCUAGCUUACACUGGCCAAAAGGAUAUUCCAUAUUAUAUGACAUCAUACGAAAAAGAACUUCAAAAAUGGUGGGGACUUGGCUGGGGGAGCAGCUGCUGCUUGUAGACUGGCUGGACAUCAGUCCACAAGUGACAAUUAAUUUUUUAGGACUGUGGGUUGAAGAGAGCAGCCAGGAAACGUCGUGUAACUUGGAGAGGACUACAUGUGAUAACACUGAAGAAUGAUCAGAGAGUAAACUGUGAAACCACUAUGGUGUCUGUUGAGGAAAACCUACAAGCUGUCAAGAAAGCUCUGGACGUUUUGUGAUACAAUCUAUCAAUUAUCCCAGCUGAAUGCCGGUGUUUAUAGAGGGCAUUUUUUGUUGUUGUUGUAAUUCCAUGCCAUCUCAGGCUUACAGUAAGCCACCUGGCCAGCAUGAAUGUGCAGGUUAAUUUCAGGAUCAUAUAUUAUUCUGUAUAAUAAAAACAAGUUGUCUGGUUGUUUUUAGUGAAUUUGUCUAAGCCCGUUCCCAUGGGCUCCCCACCUCCCAGGGAGAAGUUGUAGUCUGCUCUGUUUCAUCAUCGCUUUUGUGGCAUU